UGGACCAAUGAUGAGACAGUGUUUAUGAACAAAGCAUAAUGAUUAAUCCAGUUUUACACAAAACACUGAGGUCCAUU
ensembl:snoRNA